UAGCAUCUGUGCAAUUAGUUUUAUAAUUAACUCAUAUUUAAUCCUCCUAAUUAGCCUCCGAAUAUUCGAUAUGACACGAACUAAAUUUUAGCUCAAUGAACCAAACACCUCCUAAAUUUCUUCUCUAUCCCUUGUGUGCCAUCCAAAAUUAGAGCGUCGUUGAUUCUAAUUUUCAAUCCCCUGUGCGCCAUUGCCGUCAAACAGGUGUUAACUUUUUAUGAAAAAGAUGAAUAUACCCCCUGCUUUCCUUCUUCCUUCCAUCUUUCUUCGAUUUCCGCUGCAGCUUGCGGAGCACUCGUCCCGCAACGCGACGGGCACGAUUUGUUGGCCGGGCGCCACCAUCCUCAAAUCCCUCGCGUCCAGGACUUCUUCACCUUCCCAAGAACUCCCCUGGCCACUC
rnacentral:lncRNA from 1 species